GACAACUUAGUUUAAAAAAAACAAGUGCCUUGAAAGCAUUAAAUAGAUAGCUAUCCUUCUAGUAGUCA
rnacentral:tRNA from 1 species